rnacentral:rRNA from 1 species
GAAUUUUGGGCAAUGGCCGAAAGGCUGACCCAGCGACGCCGCGUGCGGGAGGACGCCCUUCGGGGUGUAAACCACUGUCAGGAGGGACGCAAGAUUUCACGGUGAAUAAUCGUGAGAAGUGACGGUACCUUCAACGGAAGCACCGGCUAACUCUGUGCCAGCAGCCGCGGUAAUACAGAGGGUGCAAGCGUUGUUCGGAAGUACUGGGCGUAAAGCGCGCGCAGGCGGGUCCUGUAAGUCGGAAGUGAAAUUUCGGAGCUCAACUCCGAAGCUGCUUCUGAUACUGCGGAUCUGGAGAUCGGUAGAGGUCGGUGGAAUUACAGGUGUAGCGGUGGAAUGCGUAGAUAUCUGUAAGAACACCCGUGGCGAAGGCGGCCGACUGGGCCGAAUCUGACGCUGAGGCGCGAAAGCGUGGGGAGCAAACAGG